GCCAACAAGGUGCGCAUCAGGAGGACCCCACGCAAGAAAACCAUAUCUGUUAUUCUUAAGAAUUAUGUGACCUAAGGGCAGCGGAUAUUUUGUAAAGGGGCAGUACAAUCUAUCUAUUAUAAAUAAGUAGAAAUAACCUAAGUACGAAGGAAUUGUCUAGAGCGUGACUGCUACUGCCUCCUCGCUUGGAUUAGUUUCUUUGUACUGAUCCAUUUCUUCUCUUGAAUUCACCAUACUCUCCCAUUUCUUCUUCCUCCUCUUUUGGUCUCUACUUCUUAUUAUAGUUGUUUGUAUUGUUUGGAAUUCAUUUUGAGGUUGCAGUUUGGUCCAUUUUUGGUGCUUUCGUUGCUCUAACUCUCCUCCACCAUGGUUGAUGGUACUCGAUUGGCAAACUUAGAUCUGUAAGUGGCUAUGCUUCAGGAUGAUUUUCAACUACAAUCUCAAGCUCUUGCUCAACAAACUAAAUCCCUAGACUCCAAAUCUACAGUUUCUAUUCAGUAUCAAACAAUGGUUGAUAUGAAGCAUAAAACGGAAGCUGUUAGUACUCAACUCAUUCAACUUGGGCAGUUAAUUAAAGGUAAGGCCACGCUAUCAAACGAUAGCCUCCCGAUGGAACCAAGGUUUUGACUGAUUCCAGAACAACAUUCAAGUGUGACCAUACAUCUCCUUCCAACCACUGCCAUCCAUCGCACCUUGAGUACGAUUCUGAUAGGGAAGAGUUUCCGUUCAAGCCCAAACCCGCUCAAGUGGAACUGACUAAAUUUAAUGGUACUGAUACUAUCAUACUAAUACUAAUAUUAUCAUACUAUUCCACAUACAUAUAAACUAAUACUAUCUUGUACCAUUUUAUUCAAGCCUAAAACAAUAGUAGCAGAAAAGAUAACCAAAUAGGAGGAUUCUGGCAGUUCGAUUUACUUACUUUAAAGGGCGGCCGUUGUACUUAAGAACCAACUGCUCGGCGAUUGAUUUACUUCGACCAUAGGGAUCAACGUG
rnacentral:lncRNA from 1 species